UUAGAGUUUGAUCCUGGCUCAGGAUGAACGCUGGCGGCGUGCUUAACACAUGCAAGUCGAACGAAGCGCUCCGGACGACUCUUUCGGGAUGAGACUGGAGGGACUGAGUGGCGGACGGGUGAGUAACGCGUGGGUAACCUGCCUCAUACAGGGGGAUAACAGUCAGAAAUGGCUGCUAAUACCGCAUAAGCGCACAGUACCGCAUGGUACGGUGUGAAAAACUCCGGUGGUAUGAGAUGGACCCGCGUCUGAUUAGCUGGUUGGCAGGGUAACGGCCUACCAAGGCGACGAUCAGUAGCCGGCUUGAGAGAGUGGACGGCCACAUUGGGACUGAGACACGGCCCAGACUCCUACGGGAGGCAGCAGUGGGGAAUAUUGCACAAUGGGGGAAACCCUGAUGCAGCGACGCCGCGUGAGUGAAGAAGUAUUUCGGUAUGUAAAGCUCUAUCAGCAGGGAAGAAAAUGACGGUACCUGACUAAGAAGCCCCGGCUAACUACGUGCCAGCAGCCGCGGUAAUACGUAGGGGGCAAGCGUUAUCCGGAAUUACUGGGUGUAAAGGGUGCGUANGUGGUGCGGCAAGUCAGAAGUGAAAGCCCGGGGCUCAACUCCGGGACUGCUUUUGAAACUGUCGGACUGGAGUGCAGGAGAGGUAAGCGGAAUUCCUAGUGUAGCGGUGAAAUGCGUAGAUAUUAGGAGGAACACCAGUGGCGAAGGCGGCUUACUGGACUGUCACUGACACUGAGGCACGAAAGCGUGGGGAGCAAACAGGAUUAGAUACACUGGUAGUCCACGCCGUAAGAGAUGAAUACUAGGUGUCGGGGCCGCAGAGGCUUCGUAGCCGCAGCAAACGCAGUAAGUAUUCCACCUGGGGAGUACGUUCGCAAGAAUGAAACUCAAAGGAAUUGACGGGGACCCGCACAAGCGGUGGAGCAUGUGGUUUAAUUCGAAGCCACGCGAAGAACAUUACCUGAUCUUGACAUCCUCCGGACCGGCCCGUAACGGGGCGUUUCAUUCGGGACUGGAGAGACAGAUGGUGCAUGGUUGUCGUCAGCUCGUGUCGUGAGAUGUUGGGUCAAGUCCCGCAAGGAGCGCAACCCUUAUAUUUAGUAGCCAGCAUUUUGGAUGGGCAGUCUAGAGAGACUGCCAGGGAUAACUUGGAGGAAGGUGGGGAUGACGUCAAAUCAUCAUGCCCCUUAUGGCCAGGGGUACACACGUGCUAACAAUGGUGGUAAUAGAGUGAGGCAAACCCGCGAGGGGGAGCAAAUCACAAAAAUGCCAUCUCAGUUAGGAUUGUAGUAUGCAAUUCGACCACAUGAAGCUGGAAUCGGUAGUAAUGGGGAAUCAGAAUGUCGCGGAGAAUACGUUCACCGGGUCCUGUACACACCGCCCGUCA
rnacentral:rRNA from 1 species